AGACGCAUAGAGUUAAUCGAGCUCACUGAUGGAAUAGUGGGUCGAAGGACGUAGGUUGUUAAGUAGGCAAAUCCGCUUAACGUUAGACCGAGAUCUUACAGGCUCUUGACACUCUUCGGAGGAGAUGGAGAAUCGAUGAUACUGUCGUGCCAAGAAAAGCCACUAAGUUUAUUAUAUGUUGCCCGUACCGUAAACCGACACAGGUGGGUGGGAUGAGUAUUCUAAGGCGCGUGGAAGAACCCUCUUUAAGGAACUCUGCAAAAUAGCACCGUAUCUUCGGUAUAAGGUGUGCCUACUUUGGUAUAUGGACUUGCUCCAAAAAGCUAGAGAGGUUGCAACAAAGAGUCCCUCCCGACUGUUUACCAAAAACACAGCACUUUGCUAACACGUAAGUGGAUGUAUAAGGUGUGACGCCUGCCCGGUGCUCGAAGGUUAACUGAUGAUGUCAGCGCAAGCGAAGCAUUUGAUUGAAGCCCGAGUAAACGGCGGCCGUAACAAUAACGGUCCUAAGGUAGCGAAAUUCCUUGUCAGUUAAAUACUGACCUGCAUGAAUGGCGUAACGAGAUGGGAGCUGUCUCAAAGAGGGAUCCAGUGAAAUUGUAGUGGAGGUGAAAAUUCCUCCUACCCGCGGAAAGACGGAAAGACCCCGUGCACCUUUACUACAGCUUGACACUGUAGCUUGGAUAUUCAUGUGCAGGAUAGGUGGGAGGCUAUGAUGACUAGACGCAAGUAGAGUCGGAGCCAUCCUUGAGAUACCACCCUUGAAUAUUUGAGUUACUAACUGCGAUGAGUUAUCCUCAUUCAGGACAAUGUCUGGUGGGUAGUUUGACUGGGGCGGUCGCCUCCUAAAUAGUAACGGAGGCUUACAAAGGUUAGUUCAAAGCGGUUGGAAAUCGCUUGUUGAGUAUAAUGGCAUAAACUAGCUUGACUGUGAGACCUACAAGUCGAACAGAGACGAAAGUCGGUCAUAGUGAUCCGGUGGUUCUGCGUGGAAGGGCCAUCGCUCAAAGGAUAAAAGGUACGCCGGGGAUAACAGGCUGAUCUCCCCCAAGAGCCCACAUCGACGGGGAGGUUUGGCACCUCGAUGUCGGCUCAUCGCAUCCUGGGGCUGUAGUCGGUCCCAAGGGUAUGGCUGUUCGCCAUUUAAAGCGGUACGCGAGCUGGGUUCAGAACGUCGUGAGACAGUUCGGUCCCUAUCUUCCGUGGGCGUAGGAAAGUUGAAGAGAUUUGUCCCUAGUACGAGAGGACCGGGAUGAACCAACCACUGGUGUACCAAUUGUUCUGCCAAGAGCAUCGUUGGGUAGCCACGUUGGGAUGUGAUAAGAGCUGAAAGCAUCUAAGCUCGAAGCCAACUCUAAGAUGAACUUUCCCUGAAGUUCCCAGCAAGACUAGCUGGUUGAUAGGCUGGAUGUGUAAUGGGUGUAAGCCCUUUAGCUGACCAGUACUAAUAGAACGUUUGGCU
rnacentral:rRNA from 1 species